GACGAACGCUGGCGGCGUGCCUAAUACAUGCAAGUCGAACGCAGUGGGGACGGGUGAGUAACACGUGGGUAACCUCCCAUCAGAGGGGAUAAAACUUGGAAACAGGUGCUAAACCGAUACUGAUGGAUGGACUCGCGGUGCUUUGGCCAGUUGGAGGGGUAACGGCCUACCAAGGCCACGAUGCAUAGCCGACCUGAGAGGGUGAUCGGCCCAACAGGGACUGAGACACGGCCCAGACUCCUACGGGAGGCAGCAGUAGGGAAUCUUCGGCAAUGGACGAAAGUCUGACCGAGCAACGCCGCGUGUGUGAAGAAGGUUUUCGGAUCGUAAAACUCUGUUGUUAGAGAAGCGGUAUCUAACCAGAAAGCCACGGCUAACUACGUGCCAGCCGCCGCGGUAAUAC
rnacentral:rRNA from 1 species